AUUGAACGCUGGCGGCAGGCUUAACACAUGCAAGUCGAGCGGAGAGAGGUAGCUUGCUACCGAUCUUAGCGGCGGACGGGUGAGUAAUGCUUAGGAAUCUGCCUAUUAGUGGGGGACAACAUUUCGAAAGGAAUGCUAAUACCGCAUACGUCCUACGGGAGAAAGCAGGGGAUCUUCGGACCUUGCGCUAAUAGAUGAGCCUAAGUCGGAUUAGCUAGUUGGUGGGGUAAAGGCCUACCAAGGCGACGAUCUGUAGCGGGGCUGAGAGGAUGAUCCGCCACACUGGGACUGAAACACGGCCCAGACUCCUACGGGAGGCAGCAGUGGGGAAUAUUGGACAAUGGGCGCAAGCCUGCUCCAGCCAUGCCGCGUGUGUGAAGAAGGCCUUAUGGUUGUAAAGCACUUUAAGCGAGGAGGAGGCUACUGAAGUUAAUACCUUCAGAUAGUGGACGUUACUCGCAGAAUAAGCACCGGCUAACUCUGUGCCAGCCGCCGCGGUAAAAC
rnacentral:rRNA from 1 species